UGGGGAAUAUUGGACAAUGGGCGCAAGCCUGAUCCAGCCAUGCCGCGUGAGUGAUGAAGGCCUUAGGGUUGUAAAGCUCUUUCGCCGGUGAAGAUAAUGACGGUAACCGGAGAAGAAGCCCCGGCUAACUUCGUGCCAGCAGCCGCGGUAAUACGAAGGGGGCUAGCGUUGCUCGGAAUCACUGGGCGUAAAGCGCACGUAGGCGGAUCGUUAAGUCAGGGGUGAAAUCCUGGAGCUCAACUCCAGAGCUGCCCUUGAUACUGGCGAUCUCGAGUUCGAGAGAGGUUGGUGGAACUCCGAGUGUAGAGGUGAAAUUCGUAGAUAUUCGGAAGAACACCAGUGGCGAAGGCGGCCAACUGGCUCGAUACUGACGCUGAGGUGCGAAAGCGUGGGGAGCAAAACAGGAUUAGAUACCCUGGUAGUCCACGCCGUAAACGAUGGAUGCUAGCCGUUGGGGGGUUUACCUCUCAGUGGCGCAGCUAACGCGUGAAGUUGACCGCCUGGGGAGUACGGUCGCAAGAUUAAAAGCUUAAAUGAAUUGACGGGGUCAUAGCUGUUUCCUG
rnacentral:rRNA from 1 species